rnacentral:rRNA from 1 species
UGACAUACUGUGCGAAGGUAUAGAGAUAUACUGGAGGCUAGCACAGAUACAGGUGGUGCAUGGUUGUCGUCAGCUCGUGUCGUGAGAUGUUGGGUUAAGUCCCGCAACGAGCGCAACCCUUAUAUCUAGUUACCAGCAGUAAGAUGGGGACUCUAGAUAGACUGCCAUUGAUAAAAUGGAGGAAGGUGGGGAUGACGUCAAAUCAUCAUGCCCUAUAUGACCUGGGCUACAAACGUGCUACAAUGGCUGAAACAAAGAGAAGCGAGAGGGUGACCUUAAGCAAACCUCAUAAAAGCAGUCUCAGUUCGGAUUGAAGUCUGCAACUCGACUUCAUGAAGAUGGAAUCGCUAGUAAUCGCGAAUCAGAAUGUCGCGGUGAAUACGUUCUCGGGCUUUGUACACACCGCCCGUCAAACCAUGAGAGUUUGUAAUACCCGAAGCCGGUGGCCUAACGAAAGAGGGAGCCGUCUAAGGUAGGACAGAUGAUUGGGGUUAAGUCGUAACAAGGUAUCCCUACGAGAACGUGCGGUUGGAUCACCUC